rnacentral:rRNA from 1 species
UACAGAGGGGGCAAGCGUUAUUCGGAAUUACUGGGCGUAAAGCGUGCGCAGGCGGUUGUGCAAGACAGGUGUGGAAAUCCCCGGGCUUAACCUGGGAACUGCACUUGUGACUGCACAGCUGGAGUACGGCAGAGGGGGAUGGAAUUCCGGCGUGUAGCAGUGAAAUGCGUAGAUAUGCGGAGGAACACCGAUGGCGAAGGCAGUCCCCUGGGCCUGUACUGACGCUCAUGCACGAAAGCGUGGGGAGCAAACAGG